GGGCGAUACCGAGUACUCGGUAUUCGAUACCAGCGAUACCACAAACAGUGGUAUCGGUAUCGAUUACUGACGUGGUAUCGUUCGAUACUUGCACCCUUUUUUAAACGACUUGUUUAAUUUCACUUCUUGAUUGAAUAAGACUUAAUAACCACUAAAAUAACUCUUAAUAUUCCAAAUGUGGUGCGCCAAGUCAUGUAUAGGAAAUAUUUAUUACGUUUUGGGCUUUUGGUUUACUUAUAGCUUUAGUUAGGUUACAUACCGUAAUGUAAUAUGUUUUUCCGCACCGGCAGGUAUCUAAAGUAGCCGAUACUAGCAAUUUAAAUACUCCCUUCCGGUAUCGAAAAUUGAAAUUUUGUGUUUAUUUUGGCAUCGAAAUAGGUAUCGGUAUCGGCCGAUACCGAUCUUAAAAGUAUCGGUAUCGGUAUCGAAUUAAAAAUCCUGGUAUCGCCCAUCACUACUAUUCCGAAUAUAAGCCCCUCCCCCCUCUAAUGUAAGCCAGGCCUGUGUGUACAAGCCCAUGGGCUUAUAUUAUUUGACAGGGGCUGGUUGUAUCAAGCCCGUUUAGCUUAAUUUCUCAUGAAUCAGUCAACUUAAAUAUUCUGCACUGAAUAUGUAGUUGUAAACAUCAUUCUAUUAAGGUUCAAAACUUCUAGUUUGGUUGUUGAAUGAAUCUAUAGAGUCUGAGUUGCUUUCUAUUUUGAGCUUAACCAACGUUUAAGCUAAACAGGCUUGAUACAAUUGGCUCCAGGUAUAUUUAUUAAUGCAGCUUUAGCCAUACAUAUUAGAAUACAAGCCCAGGGCUAGCUGGCUUACAUUCAGAGGCCGGUUUACAAUAUCUCGCCCAACAUAUAGUUUGUCAGAGUUCUAUAAAUCCCACAGUCAUUAGAGGUAAUAUAGGAAUGACAGGUGCACAAUAUGUGUGCCAGUCACCUUGGCAUUGACCGGCCAACCUUAUGCUCUGACAAUUAACCUAAAUUGAUUGAUGAUAUGUUUGAGAGCAGUUUCAGGUUUCAGUGGUGGUGUCCCCAGUAUUGGAGUAGAGCUCAAAUUUCAGUUAGAUAUAUUAUUUGUGAUUGUUGUGAAUUUUCUCACUUAGAUUAUUUGUGAUAUAUUGUAAUUAUAUAUAUAUAAAUGUAAAAUGAAACUUUGGGAAGUUAAGAAAUACAAUUAAUUGACAAGACUGUCCCCUUGACAAGUAAAAUUGUCAGGCAUUAGACUGCCUGAGUAAAAUAAUAAGCUUGCCGGGUGCAAUUAACUGCUGUAUGCUUUAAAGUUGGUUGCAUGCUUUAAAGUUGGUUGCAAGCUAGCUGGGCUUAUCAAUUUAUUUCAUCCGUAAUGAACCCAUUUUUAAUCGUUUAAGUGGCAAUGCGCCCCACUACAAUAUUUUACUCUGUCCAAUGCCAGACAAUUUUAUUCGUCAAGUUGAGAGUGCUGCCCCUCAAUGGGUUCAGUUGCAUUGCACCCUACUGUAUAUGUUUGUGUUACUUUGUCUAACGCCAACAAUUUUACUUGUCAACAAGAGAGCACAGUGGUACGUGCUGAAUGGGUUAACAUAUAAAUAAUGUCUACUCUACAGUAAAUUUCCCUGUAAUUGGACUUUGGAGCCUGGUAUAUGUGACUCACUAUUUCUUCAAAGUGUGUUCUAAUGAUACUAGCUGUCACUAUUUUAUAAAUAUAAUUGACAUUUCUCAUUUAGGGUGAUCCGGGAUGUAAGUCAUGUGGACAAGUUCUUUGGAAUGUUCAAAUAACAAGAAUAGUGGUGUUAUAGUAGUGGUGGCACUUGCCAGACCUACCGUAACUGGAAAAACUAACAAUGACUUUUCUCCAAAGUCUUAUAUCAGGCUUUUUUUCAGGGAUUUUUUAGGGCCGUUAAACGGCCCCAAAAACUCAAUCUUGAAUUGAGUUUUGAAACUCAAUCUUCUCACCAAAGUUUCAGUGCAGUAAAAAUGAAGUUGUUUGAGUUAAAUUUGUGACGUGUGGAAAUUAGUUUUCAGUUGGAAACCCGACAAUUAAGAAAAAAUGGCUGGAAUUCAUCUCACAACACAAGAAAAACUAUGCAUUCGCCAUCGUUAACCAGUUUAUAGUGUCCCUCAAUGCCCCUGCUUUAACACAUUCCGUCUCAACUACAUUUGUUGAGUACAAGUGUCAGCCCCCCGGUAGGGGGGGGGUGUGCAACCACCACAGCUGUUCAGCUAAACUCAAUCUUCUCUGCAAAAACGGACCCAAGAGAAAAUCCUGAAAAAAACCCUGUUAUUUGUACUACAAGAAAUGGCCCAAGGCAUCAAAACAGGGGACAGCCAAAGAAUCACCCAUGGAGCUACAGUUAUAAUAAUACUCUAUCACAUAUUGUAACUUGAUUGUACAGUUAUAAUUAUUAAUUUGAUAAUUAUUCUUUGACCAAGUUUAAUUAAAAUAAUACAAAAUUAAUCAUGAUUUUGAACAAACAUGUUGCAGCUUGGUACUGAGUUUCAUUAACAGACAACAGUGGCAUGGACUCAUGCAUUGUUGGAAAAUUCUGCAUCUCUAUUGUUUUGACACUAUUUUCAUGACCAAUUUUGUUGUUUUGACUUCAUUUUGACCAAGUCAGUCAGGUGAGGAUCUAUCUUGUCUAACAUUUAGAGAUCUUGUCUUGUUCAAGUGAGAUCUCAAACUGAGCCAGGUUAUCCAUGCAAACUGAAAGGAAUUUCCACUAUAAAAAUAUUAAAAUAACCACACAGUGAAGUCUCGCUUACUGCAAUAAAGCAAAACUAGAGACUCACAAUUAACUUAAUAUUUGAGGGAUGGGGCAAACAAGCUAAUAGCCUUUUAAAGACACAUACAACAAACUAUCAUACAAAUGAUACAAUACAAUACAAUCAGAGAGCACAUUAAACAGGGACCGCGGAGACGGGGGGGCUGGGGGGGCUUUAGCCCCCCCCCCACUUUUUUUGACAGCCAAAAUUAUUAAAAUAGAAAUCUAAAUGAAACUUUCUAAAUUAAUUAAUUGGGGGUUUUAUUGAUGAUUUAGCCCCCCCACUCUCUAAUACGCUCCGCGGGCCCUGACAUAUUAAACUACAAUGUACAAUUCUGGAUAUGAAACAUGCCUUCUCACUUCAGCUGGCCCAUUGAACUAUAAAUAAACUGGAAGGCUAACUCAGGGGGGGAAAUUGAAGCCAGUGCAUUUUAGUUUUUCUGAGUUAUGAGCAGAAAUACUCAACACUGAACGUUGGGCUAUAUAUCAAAUUGAAGC